AUUUUGGCCCGAAAUUAGGCUAAUGGACCGAACCGGUUGAACUAGGCCCGUAUUGUACCCAAGGCCCAACAUAUAUAAACGAAACUCAGCCUCUUUUCUCUCUCCAUUUCUGAUUCACGCUGGAUUGAAGAAGGGGAGCCAAGAACCCUAACCUCUAUUUUCAAUUCAAUCUUCAAUCACUCAUAUCUCUCACCGCCGCACCGUUUGCGGCUACGCGUUCGUCUCAUCGAGAUCUUCAAUUCUAUCCUAACAAAGUGGCAUAAUCUAGCAUUGCGUAAUCAUUAGGUUUCAUCCAUAUAAGCUGUGGGUACGAUUGAAUUUCUUAUUCAUUGGAGUGAAUUGAAGUACUUGGAAUAAAGCUUUGGUGGCUGGAACUUAUUGAAUUUGAUUCGGAGUCUUGGAAGCUUAAAUUGUGGUGUUUUGAGCUUAGGAAGAAAUCAGCUAAGGGUCAUAUGUAUGCGGUAUUGGGCUCUGCCUACUCACUUGCAUAGGUGGACGAGGGCAGCGUACGCGACUUUGGCGUUUUGACUUACUCGCGUAUGCGGAAGAAGCUUGCGUACGCAACACCCUGUUUUGGCUGAAAUGAAUUUUUUGUGUUUUUUAUCAGUCCUCUAGCCUUUUAAACCCUGUUAUGAGUCUAAAGCCAAUGUACUAGAGGGUAGAAGGGUUAGGGAUGAAAUUUAAUGGGUUGAGAUAGCAAAUUGAAGAAUAAUAAUUAUGAUAUAUGGUAUUGUGGGAUGAUGAUGAGGAGGAUGAGAAUUACAUGAAUAAAUAUACUUAUGAAAGUUGAGACUUUGAGAGAUGAUUGAUGGCGAUGAUGAUAUUGAUUGAUUAUGAUAGUGACUAUGGACAGAGUGAGAUAAUAUUAAGAAUAAAAUAGAUAAAAAGACAAUGAAUGUGAUAAGUUUGGCAAGGUCGGUGGUGUUAUCCCACUUACAGUUUGACUUGUGGUUAUAACCCGAGCAAGGAUGAUGGUGAAAUCCCGCUUGUUCAUGGUUCUCUCUCUAAUUGCAUGGUGACAGGGCACAUAUUCCUUCUAAUGGUGACAGGGCACUCUCCCUCUAACGGUCAGCCGAUGUGUUGAGAUAAUUGUGUGCAACAGACAGACAAUGUAUGGGUUAGCUACUGAACAUGUCGAAUUUUGAUUGUAUAACCGACAAAUGAGACUCAUCAGUCAUAGGACAGACAUGCAUCAUAUGCACUUGUAUGUUUUGUUUGAGUGUGCAUUUAUUUUGGCUUUCCUAUUUACUUAACUGUAAUUAACUACUACCUAAUCUAUUUGCUGUAUCUGCUAUCCAUAUCUGUGUUUUCCUUGUUUGUUUUGUAUGUGUUUGUUUCUGAUAGAUCCUUCAUGCUGGUAGAGGUGACGCUGAGGGUUGUUCCACUUGGUGAUUUGGAGGUUUUUAGAGAAUGAAAGAAAAAAGUUAGAUUAGAAUCCUUAGAUAUAGUUACCAUAAUUCUAGUUUAGUGAAAACUUUAGGAUUUGAUAUUGGUUGUUGGAGAUUUUGGAAUGCCUCUGGCUUCCCAGGACAUUAUGUAUUAUCUAUAUGGACACCUUUACCAUACUGAGAACUCCCGGUUCUCAUUCCAUAUAUAUUUUAUUAUUUUUCAU